rnacentral:tRNA from 1 species
GCCUUCGUGGUGUAGUGGUCAGUACACUCGACCCGUAACCGAGAGGUCCGUGGUUCGAUUCCUAGCGAAAACA